GAACUCAUCUUCAGUGCCGUUCUUUAUUCUUUUCUUAAAGAAAAGCUUAACUUAGCUCAAGUCUUCCAGAAGACCGCUCUUCACCAGC